AUUGAACGCUGGCGGCAUGCCUUACACAUGCAAGUCGAACGGCAGCACGGGUGCUUGCACCUGGUGGCGAGUGGCGAACGGGUGAGUAAUAUAUCGGAACGUACCUUAUUGUGGGGGAUAACGCAGCGAAAGCUGUGCUAAUACCGCAUAAUCCCUAAGGGGGAAAGCGGGGGACCGUAAGGCCUCGCGCAAUUAGAGCGGCCGAUACCUGAUUAGCUAGUUGGUGAGGUAAAGGCUCACCAAGGCAACGAUCAGUAGCUGGUCUGAGAGGACGAUCAGCCACGCUGGGACUGAGACACGGCCCAGACACCUACGGGAGGCAGCAGUGGGGAAUUUUGGACAAUGGGGGCAACACUGAUCCAGCAAUGCCACGUGAGUGAAGAAGGUCUUCGGGUUGUAAAGCUCUUUUGUCAGGGAAGAAACAGCAGCUCUAACACAGUUUGCGAAUGACGGUACCUGAAGAAUAAGCACCGGAUAACUACGUGCCAGCAGCCGCGGUAA
rnacentral:rRNA from 1 species